CUAAGACGUUGUGUACUUUGUCCACGCUGCUCCUUGCUGACUACCUGCUCCAGAAGAAGCCAGAAAAAAUAUCUCUAAGCCAUCCUUUCACUGCUUCUAGUUCUUGACUGAUCAGGAAUUGUCCCAGUCAUGAGGAAUCUAUCUUCACAAACUGCAAGUGACAAAGAGAUUGACCAUAGACCUUCACAUCUGUUAAGAGCUGAGUAUAUUUAGCAGAGAGGGUCAUGCCAGUCUGUAGUGAACACCUGAUGGUCAACAUGUGAGUCUUCAUGCAGAACUGGUGACAGUGCACAGUUUAAGUUCCAGUCGUCAUCCAACAUCAUGUCCAUGUGAGACUCUAUCCCAUGUUGAGCACCCUUUUCGGUCAAGUUUGGACUCAGUGACUAAUUAUUCUUGGUCAGCCAGGGCAAGUGGCUAUUUUUUUUCAUGAUGUUUAUUCAUUCCACCAUGGAUUCUCCUUUAUAUAUAUAUAUAUAUAAACACGUGCUGUUUUUUCAACAUCUUAACACCACUUUGUUAGUAUCCUGGGCAAGUGAUUGGAUCAUGCAAGAAAAGUUUCUUAAAAUUUAUCAAAAUACUCUGUACCUAUAUGUUAUUUAUGUAUUAUUUGUGUUAUUUGUUGUUUCUUUUGUUAUCGUUAGCAGUUGUUGACUGUUAAAUCUAUACCUAUUAAUUGUAAUUCCUUACG